UCCCUGGUGGUCCAGUGGUUAGGUCCUGGCACUUUCACUGCCAAGGGCCCAAGUUCAAUCCCUGGUCAGGGAA
rnacentral:tRNA from 1 species